rnacentral:rRNA from 1 species
UACAGGGGGUGCAAACGUUGCUCGGAAUCAUUGAGCGUAAAGCGCACGUAGGCGGUUCGUUAUGUCGGAUGUGAAAGCCCUUGGCUUAACCGAGGAAGUGCAUCCGAAACUGGCGAGCUAGAGUACGAAAGAGGAUCGCGGAAUUCCCGGUGUAGAGGUGAAAUUCGUAGAUAUCGGGAGGAACACCGGUGGCGAAGGCGGCGAUCUGGGUCGAUACUGACGCUGAGGUGCGAAAGCGUGGGGAGCAAACAGG